rnacentral:rRNA from 1 species
UACGGAGGUGGCAAGCGUUGCUCGGAAUCACUGGGCGUAAAGGGCUCGUAGGCGGCCAACUAAGUCAGACGUGAAAUCCCUCGGCUUAACCGGGGAACUGCGUCUGAUACUGGAUGGCUUGAGUUUGGGAGAGGGAUGCGGAAUUCCAGGUGUAGCGGUGAAAUGCGUAGAUAUCUGGAGGAACACCGGUGGCGAAGGCGGCAUCCUGGACCAACACUGACGCUGAGGAGCGAAAGCCAGGGGAGCAAACGGG